rnacentral:lncRNA from 1 species
CCUCCCCCCAUUCUCUUUGCAAGACUUUCAUUAUUAUGUUGCAGGUUGCCGGUUGCCUUGAACAGAGAAAGAGGUGAGAGGUUCGUUCCGGGAACCAGGAGUGUGUUGGCCUUGGGAAGAAAUGGGCAGUUUGGAGCCAAGAUACAUAGGAAGAUGAGACAGGUCCAGCUGAGUCUAAGAUGCAUGAACAAAGGCAUCCUGGAGCCCACAUCAGGGGGGACAACUUGUGUGCUCCCAGGUACAGUGGACAUCAAAGAAGAGGCAUGCAACUCCUUCCUGCUCCUGUAUCUGUGGCCUAGGUGGGUGUGGUUUUGCUCCCACCAUCCAGAAAUUGAUGUUUGCCAUGUCACUAUGUAAUGGACCAUAGAUUUUACUUAUCUGAUUUGUCUGUCUCCCUCUCUAGAAUAUAAACUCCAUGAGGGCAUGGAUUUUUGUGGGUUUUUUUCCCCCCUAAACGAUUGAAUCUUCACUGUCUGGUGUAUAAUAGCUACUUUAUAAAUGUUUGUUGAAUGAAUAAAUGCAAGCCUAUCUCUGAUGAUUCUCAGACCCUCAACAUUGCUAGAGCUUGCUCUCCUUUGCCUGAGGCUGGGUAGGGGAUUCUGCAGAAGCUGGAGGACCUUCACCGUCUCUUUCAAGAAAAACACUACAGAAGUUGCAGCGAGCUUUUGAGCAGUAACGCUUGAUUCGUGUUUUAGAAAGACAGCCCUGGCAGCUGCGUGGAGGGCAGACUGGCGGGGGCGAUGCUGAAGGCCGGAGCUCUAAGGAGAGGACGGUGCUGUCCAGCAGCCAGAGGCACUAGGACCUGCAAAAGUGCUGUCAAAACAGGAAAAUGCUGUGAACUUCAACAAAAUGUUAAGUUCACCAACUUUUUUUUUUUUCCAGUUAAACAUCUUGCUUGCUUGACUGGUUUUUCCAAACUCCCAGAGCUCCCUGGAAGUCAGUCAAUAUGGCGUUAUUGUCAUUUGGGGAACAGUAAACCUUUGAAAAAUGCCUUUUGCAUCCCAGAUUUAUGGAAACCGUUUGAACCGUGACGGAGAGACAAACAACAGAGUGGAGUAGACGCCAGGGCUGCUGUGUCAUUGUGAUGUCCAGGUGAGCCACUGCUGUGCCCAGCACACACUCAGAUAACCUCUCUGAGAGGAGGUGCCAGGGUGG